rnacentral:lncRNA from 10 species
AAAUCCUUUCUACCUCCUUAUUCAGAGAAGGAAGGAUCUUCUCAUGCACAGAGGCAACAAAUGGCAACUUUCUGAGUCCUCAUCUAUAAAAUGAGCAUAAUAACAUCACCUACUUAAUUGGAUUUGGUGAGGAUUCACUGGGUGAGUUCAUGCAAAGCGCUGAGAACAGGACCCCCCGCCCCCGUAAGUAAACACAAUAUAAUUGUUAGCUUUACAUGUUUUACUUCUCUCAUAUGCUUUUCUUCAACAAAGAGUUCUACCGCCCCCAAAAGAUUUAAAAAUCAUUUUUCUACUGUUGCAGAUGGUAGUAGCCAUUGUUCAAAGGAGACUACCAUUUUGUUUUACCCACACUUUUUAUCAGGUUUCUCUUUUCGAUCUCAGAAUAACUUUAUUCUUCAGGACAUACUACCUCCCUCUCCAUUAUUCUCAAGGGCAGAUCCUCCUUGCCACUGUCUUUAUGUCUUUUUCUUGUGAUUCAGUGCCUUCCCUCAGACUAUUCUCAUCAGCAUCAUGUCAUCACCUAGAAAGCACCUAGUUGAACAUUCUCUUUUACCCAGAAGGAA